UACGAAGGGGGCUAGCGUUGCUCGGAAUCACUGGGCGUAAAGCGCACGUAGGCGGCUCUUUAAGUCAGGGGUGAAAUCCCGGAGCUCAACUCCGGAACUGCCUUUGAUACUGGGGAUCUUGGAGUCCGGGAGAGGUGAGUGGAACUGCGAGUGUAGAGGUGAAAUUCGUAGAUAUUCGCAAGAACACCAGUGGCGAAGGCGGCUCACUGGCCCGGUACUGACGCUGAGGUGCGAAAGCGUGGGGAGCAAACAGG
rnacentral:rRNA from 1 species